GGGACACGUGGUAUCCUGUCUGAAUAUGGGGGGACCAUCCUCCAAGGCUAAAUACUCCUGACUGACCGAUAGUGAACCAGUACCGUGAGGGAAAGGCGAAAAGAACCCCGGCGAGGGGAGUGAAAAAGAACCUGAAACCGUGUACGUACAAGCAGUGGGAGCCUCUUAAUGGGGUGACUGCGUACCUUUUGUAUAAUGGGUCAGCGACUUAUAUUCUGUAGCAAGGUUAACCGAAUAGGGGAGCCGAAGGGAAACCGAGUCUUAACUGGGCGUUAAGUUGCAGGGUAUAGACCCGAAACCCGGUGAUCUAGCCAUGGGCAGGUUGAAGGUUGGGUAACACUAACUGGAGGACCGAACCGACUAAUGUUGAAAAAUUAGCGGAUGACUUGUGGCUGGGGGUGAAAGGCCAAUCAAACCGGGAGAUAGCUGGUUCUCCCCGAAAGCUAUUUAGGUAGCGCCUCGUGAAUUCAUCUCCGGGGGUAGAGCACUGUUUCGGCAAGGGGGUCAUCCCGACUUACCAACCCGAUGCAAACUGCGAAUACCGGAGAAUGUUAUCACGGGAGACACACGGCGGGUGCUAACGUCCGUCGUGAAGAGGGAAACAACCCAGACCGCCAGCUAAGGUCCCAAAGUCAUGGUUAAGUGGGAAACGAUGUGGGAAGGCCCAGACAGCCAGGAUGUUGGCUUAGAAGCAGCCAUCAUUUAAAGAAAGCGUAAUAGCUCACUGGUCGAGUCGGCCUGCGCGGAAGAUGUAACGGGGCUAAACCAUGCACCGAAGCUGCGGCAGCGACACUGUGUGUUGUUGGGUAGGGGAGCGUUCUGUAAGCCUGCGAAGGUGUGCUGUGAGGCAUGCUGGAGGUAUCAGAAGUGCGAAUGCUGACAUAAGUAACGAUAAAGCGGGUGAAAAGCCCGCUCGCCGGAAGACCAAGGGUUCCUGUCCAACGUUAAUCGGGGCAGGGUGAGUCGACCCCUAAGGCGAGGCCGAAAGGCGUAGUCGAUGGGAAACAGGUUAAUAUUCCUGUACUUGGUGUUACUGCGAAGGGGGGACGGAGAAGGCUAUGUUGGCCGGGCGACGGUUGUCCCGGUUUAAGCGUGUAGGCUGGUUUUCCAGGCAAAUCCGGAAAACCAAGGCUGAGGCGUGAUGACGAGGCACUACGGUGCUGAAGCGACAAAUGCCCUGCUUCCAGGAAAAGCCUCUAAGCAUCAGGUAACAUCAAAUCGUACCCCAAACCGACACAGGUGGUCAGGUAGAGAAUACCAAGGCGCUUGAGAGAACUCGGGUGAAGGAACUAGGCAAAAUGGUGCCGUAACUUCGGGAGAAGGCACGCUGAUAUGUAGGUGAAGCGACUUGCUCGUGGAGCUGAAAUCAGUCGAAGAUACCAGCUGGCUGCAACUGUUUAUUAAAAACACAGCACUGUGCAAACACGAAAGUGGACGUAUACGGUGUGACGCCUGCCCGGUGCCGGAAGGUUAAUUGAUGGGGUUAGCGGCAACGCGAAGCUCUUGAUCGAAGCCCCGGUAAACGGCGGCCGUAACUAUAACGGUCCUAAGGUAGCGAAAUUCCUUGUCGGGUAAGUUCCGACCUGCACGAAUGGCGUAAUGAUGGCCAGGCUGUCUCCACCCGAGACUCAGUGAAAUUGAACUCGCUGUGAAGAUGCAGUGUACCCGCGGCAAGACGGAAAGACCCCGUGAACCUUUACUAUAGCUUGACACUGAACAUUGAGCCUUGAUGUGUAGGAUAGGUGGGAGGCUUUGAAGUGUGGACGCCAGUCUGCAUGGAGCCGACCUUGAAAUACCACCCUUUAAUGUUUGAUGUUCUAACGUUGGCCCCUAAUCGGGGUUGCGGACAGUGUCUGGUGGGUAGUUUGACUGGGGCGGUCUCCUCCUAAAGAGUAACGGAGGAGCACGAAGGUUGGCUAAUCCUGGUCGGACAUCAGGAGGUUAGUGCAAUGGCAUAAGCCAGCUUGACUGCGAGCGUGACGGCGCGAGCAGGUGCGAAAGCAGGUCAUAGUGAUCCGGUGGUUCUGAAUGGAAGGGCCAUCGCUCAACGGAUAAAAGGUACUCCGGGGAUAACAGGCUGAUACCGCCCAAGAGUUCAUAUCGACGGCGGUGUUUGGCACCUCGAUGUCGGCUCAUCACAUCCUGGGGCUGAAGUAGGUCCCAAGGGUAUGGCUGUUCGCCAUUUAAAGUGGUACGCGAGCUGGGUUUAGAACGUCGUGAGACAGUUCGGUCCCUAUCUGCCGUGGGCGCUGGAGAACUGAGGGGGGCUGCUCCUAGUACGAGAGGACCGGAGUGGACGCAUCACUGGUGUUCGGGUUGUCAUGCCAAUGGCACUGCCCGGUAGCUAAAUGCGGAAGAGAUAAGUGCUGAAAGCAUCUAAGCACGAAACUUGCCCCGAGAUGAGUUCUCCCUGAGACUUAGAGUCUCCUGAAGGAACGUUGAAGACGACGACGUUGA
rnacentral:rRNA from 1 species